AUUCACUUCAGCAGGACAUAUAGUAAAAUUGGAGCGAUACAGAGAUGAUUAGCAUGGCCCCUGCACAAGGAUGGCACACAAAUUUGUGAAGUAUUCCAUACUUUA